CAAAAAUGCAAAUAGUUCACAUUCGUUUCCCAGUGUUCCUUCUUUGGGUGUAGCUGUUUCUGUCCAUCAUUUAUCCAUUAAAACUCAGUUAGGUCUCUUUGUCAUAGAAAUCAACUUCCAUCAGAAUACAUCCUCAUACAAUAUCGUUGUCGAAGUGUAUAAUGAUCUCCUGGUUCUGCUCAUCUCACUUAGCAUCAGUCCAUGUAGGUCUCUCCAAGCCUCUCUGUAUUCAUCCUGCUGGUCAUUCCUUACAGAGCAAUAAUAUUCCAUAACAUUCAUAUACCACAAUUUACCCAGCCAUUCUCCAAUUGAUGGGCAUCCAUUCAUUUUCCAGUUUCUAGCCACUACAAACAGGGCUGCUACAAACAUUUUGGCACAUACAGGUCCCCUUCCCUUUUUUAGUAUCUCUUUGGGGUAUAAGCCCAAUAGAAACACUGCUGGAUCAAAGGGUAUGCACAGUUUGAUAACUUUUUGGGCAUAAUUCCAGAUCGCUCUCCAGAAUGGCUGGAUUCGUUCACAACUCCACCAACAGUGCAUCAGUGUCCCCGUUUUCCCGCAUCCCCUCCAACAUUCAUCAUUAUUUUUUCCUGUCAUCUUAGCCAAUCUGACAGGUGUGUAGUGAUAUCUCAGAGUUGUCUUAAUUUGCAUUUCUCUGAUCAAUAGUGAUUUGGAACACUCUUUCAUGUGAGUG